rnacentral:tRNA from 2 species
GCGCCGGUGGCGGAACUGGCAGACGCACCGGAUUUAGGGUCCGGCGGCCUCACGGUCAUGUGGGUUCGACUCCCACCCGGCGCACCA